rnacentral:rRNA from 1 species
UACGUAGGGUGCAAGCGUUGUCCGGAAUUAUUGGGCGUAAAGAGCUCGUAGGCGGUUUGUCGCGUCUGCUGUGAAAACUCAGGGCUUAACUCUGAGCUUGCAGUGGGUACGGGCAGACUAGAGUCCGGUAGGGGAAGGUGGAAUUCCUGGUGUAGCGGUGAAAUGCGCAGAUAUCAGGAAGAACACCCGUGGCUAAGGCGGCGCUCUAGUACGGUACUGACGCUGAGACGCGAAAGCGUGGGGAGCGAACAGG